CCUGGGGACAAUGGUGGGGAGUUGGAUUAGCCCGUAUGCUGCCAGGGCCUCCGCAGUCACCCAAGUCCUCCUGGGACAGUAGGGUACCAGGUUCUGCCUCCACAGGAACAACCAUCAAAAGCUAUCCCAGCUUGCUGAUAGGCUUGGGAAAUCUCUAAUAUUAAGACUCAUUUACAUAAAUGUAAGCCAUUGGAAAACUUCACACUUCACUGUCAAUUUUCCCAACUACUUAUUUUCUAGCUACAAACCAUCACUGUAUUAGAACUUUACUUGAUUCCUAGUGGGUGGCUGGCUUUCUAUUUAGAGCCAUUGUAUUUAGUUCUGUUCAAGUUCUGCCUACGCAGGGUGUCUCAUUAGGACAAUGCAAGAGCUGGGCAGCUAGCUGCCUCAAUCUCAGUUUUCCAGCACAUGAGAAAGGGCCCUGCUCUCUUAGGUCAGCACAUUAAGAGCAAACAGCAAGUCCCAGCAGCCACUUUAAGGCACAUGCUGCUGGGUUUGGCAAUUCUUGUUCAGAGGUCUUUCAAAUCUUGUAUUCCUUUAUUACCCUUGUACCAGGAUAGCAGAUGCGCUGCACAAUACUGUGAAAGGCCAGGAGAUAAAGGGCCUGGCAGUCAAAUGAAAUCAAGGGAGACUUGCUUUCCUUGGUUCAUUUUUGAAAGCCUAUAAUAACUAUCUGUGAGAACGGAACAGCAGAAGAGGUGGGCAGGCCAGAUCCCAUGCCUGUGUUUACUGUGGAUGGAAACAAAUCUUUACUCAACAUUUAGAGUUUUCAGGUAAGAAAGACAAAGAGCAAGCUUGGAGAUUUUCAAUUAGGCUUGGCAAAGUUAGGGAAACCACCAAAGAAAAUGACAUGAACAUGGUCCCAAGAUGCAUGAAAGGGGCAAGAUUGGAAACCACAGCCACUUCGUGACAAAUUGAAAAUGAUGUCUCCCCCCCAGAUGGCUGCAAGGUUGUCUCCUUAUUCAGCAAAGCGGGGGGCGGGGGGGACUAAGUCACUUUUAGUCCCAUUAUUGAAAUGCUCACCUUGUGGGCAUGAGGUGAUUGUAGUUAUAAACUUUCACAAAAGACUUGAUCUUUGACCUCUUGGCAAUUUUCUUCUUGCCCAUGGCAGCUGUGACUUUUCGGGGGUAGCGGUCAAUUCCAGCCACCAGAGCAUGGCUGUAGGGGCGGUCCGAGGUGCCAUCAUCAAUGUUCUAAAUGAGCAAGAUUUACAUUUAGGAUCAACUUAAAGCCUAGCUAGGCCCUGUGCUAGAGGCAGGCACGUACAGAAAGAUCAUCCCCACCCCCAUGUCUCUGAGAGCCACCAUCUUACAGAGAAAAACCACAUAAAGCAGACACACUAAGUGCUAUGCCAGAUGCCCAGAGCAGUGAGGGUUAGGGCUGCAUUCAUGCCCACCAGGAAGAAUUUGGGCUCCUGGGAGGUAAGAGGUUUUAAAAUAACAGUUAUCAUCUAUGAAGUCAGUCCUUGCGACCCGCCAAGCACUGGUUCUUAGGAGCAGAGGCAGGCAGCCCAACUCCAGUCUCAAGAAGGUGGGGGGAGGGGAACCAGGAGUUCCAGUGUCCCCCAAACAGCUAAGAGCAGUGCUAUAUGCGGUCAGACGUUAGGGACAUUUCAAGAAGCUAAAAGAUGAAGGCAGCAGGCAAACAGUGAAGGGCUGCAAUACGCUAAAUGACCAUUUUGAUAGAAACAAUUCCUCCUCCCUUACAGAAUCCCAGCUGCAGCACUUACUAUCUGACCUCAGGUGAGUUAGCGAACAUCUCUAAACCUUAGGAGUAGGAAGAACCCUCUAUAGCAGCGGUUCUCAACCUGUGGGUCGCGACCCCUUUGGGGGUCGAACGACCCUUUCACAGGGGUCGCCUAAGACCAUCGGAAAACACAUAUAUAAUUACAUAUUGUUUUUGUGAUGAAUCACUAUGCUUUAAUCAUGUUCAAUUUGUAACAAUGAAAUCGGGGGUCACCACAACAUGAGGAACUGUAUUAAAGGGUCGCGGCACUAGGAAGGUUGAGAACCUCUGCCUAGGGUUACUGCAAGGAUUGGGCACGAAAGCAUCUGUAAGGCAGUGUACCAGGCACCAAGCAAGCGUUCAGGAAGCGUUGGCCAUUAUUAUUAUUUAAAGCCUCUUGGGUAGAGAGCGCGUUCUGUGUUAGGUGUCAACUUGUUUUUAUUUUCCAUUUUCCUCUUCCAAAAGCCCUCAUGCAUUCACCCCCACCCCUACACGCAAUGCUCAGUGGCUCAUGUCCCAAACUGGGUCUUGAAUUCCAAGCUCGCGGUCCUCCGAAACCGGCCCAGUUCCGGGAAACACGGGCGCACAGGCUCGCCAGGAUGGUACCUUCACGAUGACGGCUUUGCGUCCGGAGUAGCGUCCGGCCAGGACCAGCACCACCUUCCCGGGUUUCAUAAACUUGCCCAUUUCUGCAGAGGAACAAGGGGCCCCUAAGAAAUUCGCAAGCCCAGGCUGCGGGCUCUCGGAACUUCAGGCUGCGUUUACUGUCGUCCUGGCCCAGGCCGCCCACGGGCCCUGUUCACGGGACGGGAUCCGCUACGAAGCCGCCAGAGACAGAGGAAUGGAAAGUACUCGGAACCACCCCGCAACUCGCCCCCCAGGCCGCGGAUGGCGGUGGAUUGGAAGACCCUCCCCAGGGCUGCACUCACCGAACGUAGCCACUCGGGCCUAGAGCAGAAAGGAAAGAACCGCACUUCCGCUAACCUUUCACCCCGGAGGUGGUGAUCUCACUUCCGGUACCGCCCCUUAAGUCUCGACCCGCCUCUUGCGCGGCCCUCAGACUCUGGUUGCUGGCGGAAGAAGCUUCUAUGGGGAAAGCAGGGCCUGGCUGCUUAUUUAUUCAAAUCAAACUUUAUUGGUAGAUCCGGCAGAAGAAAAGAGCCAGGGAGUGCCGCCUAUCGCCUACGGAUGGAAGAGCAAGGAAGGCUUACUUGCCUAAUCUGGGAGCUGUACUUACGUUUGCUGUUUCUUGGAGGCAGUUUGCUGUUGCCAGUUCUGGUGGAGCCAUUCCCUGUCUUCCCACUGGCCUUGCACUCACAGUGUCCAUUAUCUGUCUGCAA